rnacentral:rRNA from 1 species
UACGGAGGGAGCUAGCGUUGUUCGGAAUUACUGGGCGUAAAGCGUGCGCAGGCGGUUUUGUAAGUCUGUCGUGAAAUCCCCGGGCUCAACCUGGGAAUGGCGAUGGAUACUGGACAGCUAGAGUGUGUCAGAGGAUGGUGGAAUUCCCGGUGUAGCGGUGAAAUGCGUAGAGAUCGGGAGGAACAUCAGUGGCGAAGGCGGCCAUCUGGGACAACACUGACGCUGAAGCACGAAAGCGUGGGGAGCAAACAGG